GAUGAACGCUGGCGGCGUGCUUAACACAUGCAAGUCGAACGGAAAGGCCCAAGCUUUCUUGGGUACUCGAUUGGCGAACGGGUGAGUAACACGUGGGUGAUCUGCCCUGCACUUCGGGAUAAGCCUGGGAAACUGGGUCUAAUACUGGAUAGGACCACUUCUUGGAUGUUGUGGUGGAAAGUUUUUUCGGUGUGGGAUGAGCUCGCGGCCUAUCAGCUUGUUGGUGGGGUAAUGGCCUACCAAGGCGUCGACGGGUAGCCGGCCUGAGAGGGUGUACGGCGACCUUGAGACUGAGAGAAGGCCCAGACUGCUAAGGGAGGGAGAAGUGGGGAAGAUUGAACAAUGGGCGCAAGCCGGAUGAAGCGAGGCCGCGUGGGGGAGGACGGUCUUAGGGGUGAAGAAUCCAUUCGCUAGGGACGAAGCGUAUUGUGACGGUACCUGGAGAAGAAGCAACGGCUAACUACGUG
rnacentral:rRNA from 1 species